ensembl:snoRNA
GCCUUCUGCAUCUCCAGAAAUCUGCUAUAGUUGUGUGAUCCAGAUGUUCUGUUUCAUGCAACAAUGCCAGCAGAGUAUUACGCAGAAGGAGAUGAUCGUGCACUGCACCGGAAAUGAGAUGCAGUCGAACCUCUUUCUUAAUGUUCAUUGGCUGUUGUCUCAAGGUGAAGUGCCACACCU